AGAUCAUGUUGAGGACAACUCCUAAGCAAUCCCUUGUACCUCACCCAUGCUUCAGACAAUGACUCUCCAACUUCUUGUUGAAAAUUACCAAUCUUCUUCUUGUGCGU